UGGGGGUCCUAUAGGGCCCUGUGGGGCUCCAUUAGGUCCCUAUAGGGCUCUAUUGGGGCUCUAUGGGUGGUAUUGGGGCCCUGUGGGGCGCUAUAAGGGCCCUAGGGGGUGGUAUUAGGGCUCUGUUGGGGUCCUAUAGGGCCCUGUGGGGCUCCACUGGGUUCCUCUAGGGCUCUAUCGGGGCUCUAUGGGGCGCUAUAAGGACCCUAGGGGGUGGUACUGGGGCUCUAUUGGGGUCCUAUAGGGCCCUGUGGGGCUCUGUUAGGUCCAUAUAGGGCUCUAUUGAGGCUCUAUGGGUGAUAUUGGGGCCCUGUGGGGCGCUAUAAGGGCCCUAGGGGGUGGGAUUGGGGCCCUACGGGGCGCUAUAAGGGCCCUAGGGGGUGGUAUUGGGGCUCUAUUGGGGUCCUAUAGGGCCCUGUGGGGCUCCAUUAGGUUCCUCUAGGGCUCUAUUGGGGCUCUAUGGGUGACAUUGGGGCCCUAUGGGGUGCCAUAAGGGCCCUAGGGGGUGGGAUUGGGGCCCUGUGGGGGGCUAUAAGGGCCCUAGGGGGUGGGAUUGGGGCUCUGUUGGGGUCCUAUAGGGCCCUGUGGGGCUCUGUUAGGUCCCUAUAGGGCUCUACUGGGGCUCUAUGGGGCACUAUGGAGCACUGUAAGGGCCCUAGGGGAUGAUACUGGGGCUCUAUGGGGUGCUAUGGGGCGCUGUAAGGUCCCUAGGGGGUGAUGUUGGGGCCCUAUGGGGUGCUGUAAGGUCCCUAUGGGGCACUGUAAGGGCCCUAUGGGGUGCUGUAAGGUCCCUAUGGGGUGCUAUAAGGGCCCUAGGGGGCACUGUAAGGGCCCUAGGGGGUGAUAUUGGGGCCCUAGGGGGUGCUAUAAGGGCCCUCUGGGGCACUACAAGGUCCUUAUGGGGCUUUAUUGGGGCCCUAUAGGGCUCUGUUAGUGCUCUCUGGGGCUCCGUUAGGUCCCUAUGGGGCUCUAUUGGGGCCCUAUGGGGCACUAUAAGGGCCCUAAGGGGUGAUGCUGGGGCCCCAUAGGGCUCUAUUAGUGCUCUGCGGGGCGAUAUUGGGGCCCUAUGGGGUGCUAUAAGGACCCUGUGGGGCUGCCUGGGGACUCUAUGGGGUCCCUGGGGGGCUCUGUGGGGCUCCUGGGAGCUCUGGGAGGGCGUACAGGGCUCUAUAGGGUCUUCUUGGGUCUCCGUGGGGACCCGUAGGCCUCUAUAGCGAACCCUGGGGGACUCUCCGGGGGCUCUGUGGGGCCUAUAGGGCCCUAUAAGGCCCCUGGGGCCUCUGUGGGGCUGCCAGGGGACGCUGCAGUGGCUCCUUGGGGCCCUAUAGGGCUCUGUGGGGUCCCUGGGGGGGCCCUAUGCGGCUGCCUGGGGUCUCUAUGGGGGUCUAUAGGGCUCUAUGGGGUCCCUGUGGGGCUGCCUGUGGG
rnacentral:lncRNA from 1 species